rnacentral:SRP_RNA from 1 species
CCGCGCAGCCGGGGAGAUAGCGGUGCCCUGUACCUGCAAUCCGCUAUAGCAGGGGUGAUGGCCAGCCUCGAACUGUUUCUUGCGAGGCAGCCCUUAGAAAGUGACGUUGAUAUUUAGGUCUUACGCGACAGGAAUCUAUGAACCGUGUCAGGUUGGGAACAAAGCAGCACUAAGUAGAACCUCUCUGUGCGCCGUGAGGUCGCCUGGAUUGAGUUAACUGCUAAGGAAACGCUCGUUGGGGCUUUGCAAAGCUGGUCGCGCGG